UUUCCAUCCUGUCCCUCCCUCCCUCAACUGAUGCCUAAUCUCACUUCCUAUUAAGAAAUCUUCAGCCAGGAACCGUUUCCAAAUAUGCCCCCAUUCAAUUUAGGUUUUAAUGAUUUCUUCAUCAUGAAAUCAAAGGUUUAUCGGUUAUGGCAAUGAAAUCGUCGCUGGUUAAUGAUCAAUUGAAACCUAUAACAAUUAAUGGAAACCACUGAUUGAAUGCUUGCAGCAAAUUGAAUAGGGAAAUUGAUUCCAGGCCUCCACUUCAUUAAUAGGGAACGACCUUUCUUUCUCUCAGUUGUAUAAUUGAAAGUUAAAAUUGUGAAUAUAAAGAUGGUUGUUACGGAAGGUGGUGAAGAAGGUGGAAGGAUUGCAGAUUUGGUGUCUUUCAAUCUGUUGCUGAGAUACCCUAAUUUUGCUACGGACGGCAGUUGGUUGUGGUGGUAUUAGGUGGUUUUUGUGAAAGGGACGAACUUGGUUGUGGUGGUGAAUGGAAACAGCGGUGUGGAUUGAACACCGACGGUGACGGAGAAAUAGGAUUCCCACGAGUAUUUUGGUGAUCGGAGUAAGAUCUCUUCGUCUCUCAUCUGUUCCUAUUUAUGAUUUUAAGUUCUUUAGAAUUGAUCUUAAGGUUUUAUAUGUACGAUUAUGUUUCUUGAUUGAAUGAUGAAAAUAGUUGUUGAAGGAUUAUGUUUCGGUCGAGAGCGUAGGUUGAGGCGAUUCCAUUGGUGAUCAACAACGGCGGCGGCUAAAUUGCGAGAAAACAAUCCUGGGAAUGCUCUUUUAGAGGUAUGAAGAUGAAGCUGCCCAGAUGUGAUAAAGUAAGUGCACAUCAUAUAUACAAUUUUUCUGAAUUACUUUUGCCCGUCUUUCAAGGUAUGAUUCUAAGAUGGGGUGGUAAAAUGGGGGUGGUUUAGUAACAAGUUUAAACCAAUAACUUUGUUCGGCAGUGGCGAAGCUUGAGAUUUCUGACCGGGGGGUCGGAAGUUACAGGCCCUAAAAUUAUACCUUAAAAAUUAUUAAACCGGAGGGUCGAAAACGUAUAUAUAUCUAAAAAAUUCUAUACGAAAUGUACAUACAUAACAUAACAUUACUGAACGAAAAGUUCGGGGGGUCGGGCGCCCCUCCCGGCCCCUUCAAAGCUACGCCCAUGUUGUUCGGGACGGGUUGGGUUGAACUGGGUCGAAUUGAAACACCUUUUCUAUAAGUUUUAUGUUUUUUUUUAUUAGUUUCAUGUGGUGUUCUCAGUAUGAUUAUAAAAGCUAUAUAGUUUCAACAAAAAAUCUAUCUUUUUAUAAUAAAAUGAUUUAUGAGGUUUUAUGAAGUAGAAAUAGGAUUGGCAGUUCCCGACACUUAUCUUUUUAUAAUAAAAUGAUUUAUGAGGUUUUAUGAAGUAGAAAUCGGAUUGGCAGUUCCCGACACAACACAAAAAUAUAUGGCUUAGCAUUGACGUGAACGGGGCAACUUGUUUAACAAACUGGUUGUGUUCGGGUUGGUUGUAGAUAAAUGGGUUGACCUGUCAAUGUUGAAAAUAAACUUUGGGUAAAUUUCAACCUGUUUUCAUUUAGCUAUCUUUUCUUAGAGUUUUACGUGUUUGAGCCAUUCAGAAAUAAUCGGGGCUAAACAUAAUGCAACGCAUGUCCCAAACUGGUCGAAUAUAUGUUUUACAUUUGUGUGAUUGUUUCUAAGGUCAGUGGCGGCUUUGAUGGUGUGCGGGAAGGACCUCCGCACAAGGCCUGUGAUUUCGAGGGGCACGCGAUUUAAAAAAAAUCUGAUUAUGAAGAUGAAGAUAUAUACAAAAGAGUACAUAACUUUUUGCUGGUGCUUGGUGGGAUGUUUGAUAUAGGAUUUGAAUAGGAGUCCGCUCCAUUCUUAGCAAAACAGGUUUCGGUACAAGACUAAUUUUUAUUUCCAAACAUAACGAAUGUUUAAAGUAUUAUGAUGCUAUGUUGACGAAUAACUGUGAACUGCUUUUCUUAAAGCUCAAAGGGUAGCGGAUGCGCUUGAACUGUUCGAUGAAAUGCUAGAUCGGGAUAUUACGCCCACUAAAGAGACAAUAACCGCUAUCAUUGAAUCGUUAUGUAGUUACGGCCCACCACAUGCUGCCAUGAUGAUAUAUAAAAAAGCAAAAGAAGCAAAGUGUACGAUAUCAUUAAACGCUUAUAAGAUACUGUUUAUGCGACUCUCGCGGUUUGGUAAAUUUGGUAUGCUUUUGAAAAUAUGGGAUGAAAUGGAACAAAGUGGUUAUGUUUC